rnacentral:misc_RNA from 1 species
AAGUCGUAACAAGGUUUCCGUAGGUGAACCUGCGGAAGGAUCAUUAACAUUAUUCUUUUACUUUUUGGGUGUGGUUUGUGUGUUUGUUUUAUUACAGAUGCACAUUCUACUCUCAUUUCACCCCAAAUGUGCAUUGUGUUGUGCUUUGUAACAAAAGCACUUCUUUUUUAUCUAUCUAUACUAAAUAAACCCCUUUUUAUUACUUCUAGACUGACUUUAAACCACUUGAUUCGUACACUUCAUACUGUACGAUGACCAAUCAUAAUACAACUCUUAGCAACGGAUAUCUAGGCUCUC